UACGAAGGGGGCUAGCGUUGUUCGGAAUUACUGGGCGUAAAGCGCACGUAGGCGGAUUUGCCAGUCAGGGGUGAAAUCCCGGGGCUCAACCUCGGAACUGCCUCUGAUACAGCAAGUCUUGAGUCCGGAAGAGGUGGGUGGAAUUCCUAGUGUAGAGGUGAAAUUCGUAGAUAUUAGGAAGAACACCGAUGGCGAAGGCGGGUCUCUGGGCCGAUACUGACGCUGAGGAGCGAAAGCGUGGGGAGCGAACAGG
rnacentral:rRNA from 1 species